AUUGAACGCUGGCGGCAGGCCUAACACAUGCAAGUCGAACGUGUGGCGGACGGGUGUGAAAUGUCUGGGAAACAGCCCGACGGAGGGGGAUAACUACUGGAAACGACAGCUACUACCACCUCCCAUCGGAUGUGCCCAGAUGGGUUUCGCUUGUGGGUGCGGUAAAGGCUCACCUAGGCGACGAUACUUCGCUGUUCUGAGAGGAUGACCAGAAAAACGGGAACGGAGACACGGACAGGACUCGUACGGGAGGCAGAAGUGGGGAAUAUUGCACAAGGGGCGCAAGCCGGAUGAAGCCAUGCCGCGGGUAUGAAGAAGGCCUUCGGGUUGUAAAGUACUUUAAGCGGGAAGACGGUACAGGAAGAAGAAGCAACGGCUAACUCCGUGCCAGCAGCCGCGGUAAUUC
rnacentral:rRNA from 1 species